CUGAGUUACUAAAAACCAUAACCAGAGCAAAAGGCUGUGCUGCUUUUGGAGGGGGACAAAAGAAAACCCAAAUUCAGCUUCAAAUCAAAAAGAUGUGUGAAGAAAUGAAGAUGGCACGCCAUGCUGUGGUAGGCAUCCCACACAUAAAGUAGAAGAAGAUGGGCACGGAUGUUAGCUCAGGGCCAGGCUUCCUCAGCAAAAAAGAAGAGGACUGGCAAUAGUUAGCUCAGGGCUAAUCUUCCUCAAAAAAAGAAAAGAAAAGAAAAGAAAAGAAGGAUUACAGUGACAGUGGAUUGUCCGUGGAGGAAAACAGCAAAUGGAAGAAAGUGAGAGAACCGUGAAGUCUGAAGAAAAAUCUGACAGGACCUCAGGAUGGGAUUAGCAAUGUGACUUUGGAUCCAGGAAUUAAGGUAUUAAAUUAAAUACCAAUUUAAGAAUUGGGUAAAGAAGGAAAACAAGAAGUAAGGAAAAAUAAUGCAGAAAAAUUGGACGGAAGAAAAAGUCUGAGGGGCUGUAGUGUUUUUUCUCAAAAGGUCACUUCAUUUGUUUACACCUCAACUUUAAAUUUUCUGCUAAGAAAAUCAGUCAGAAAAAUAAAGCCUUGUGAAAAGAAGUCUCUGGAACCAGUAAACCAGUCUCCUGCAGGAAGGAGGAGACAAAACCCAUUCUCUUAACAGAAGAGCUAAGUGAAUUGAAAUCAUUUGUAAGCACCUACCAUGUUCAGCUAGAGGAAAAGACACUAUGAUAAUGCUUUUAAAAAUAUUAAUUUCAACUUAAUUUCUAUUU